AUGUGCUUUCCUCACCAUGCACUAGAAGUCAAGUUGAACUUUUUAGGAGCCUCUGCUGUGAUACAAGGGAAGCCCUUCAGCAUCCCCUUCAUCCAAAGCCAGAGAUCUCUCCCCGAUAGAUAGGACAUCCAUUAGUUCUUUCAUUGUGUGGAACUGAAUGUUUAUCUCCUACUGAAAUGUUAUGUAUACAAGAUGUGGGAAUUGGAUCUGAAUCCACUGCCUUGACUAUG